rnacentral:rRNA from 1 species
CAUAUCAAUAAGCGGAGGAAAAGAAACCAACAGGGAUUGCCUUAGUAACGGCGAGUGAAGCGGCAACAGCUCAAAUUUGAAAUCUGGCCCUUGGGUCCGAAUUGUAAUUUGUAGAGGAUGAUUUUGGUGCGGUAUCUUCCGAGUUCCUUGGAACAGGACGCCUUAGAGGGUGAGAGCCCCGUACGGUUGAAUGCCUAGCCUCUGUAAAUCUCCUUCGACGAGUCGAGUAGUUUGGGAAUGCUGCUCUAAAUGGGAGGUAAAUUUCUUCUAAAGCUAAAUAUUGGCCAGAGACCGAUAGCGCACAAGUAGAGUGAUCGAAAGAUGAAAAGCACUUUGAAAAGAGGGUUAAAUAGCACGUGAAAUUGUUGAAAGGGAAGGAUUUGUGACCAGACUUUUUCUGGGCGGAUCAUCCGGGGUUCUCUCCGGUGCACUUCGCCCAGUAAAGGCCAGCAUCGGUUUUCGGCGUGGGAUAAAAGCAGUAGGAAUGUGGCUCUCUACGGGGAGUGUUAUAGCCUAUUGUAUAAUACCGCGCUGGGGACCGAGGUUCGCGCUUCUGCAAGGAUGCUGGCGUAAUGGUUAUCAAUCACCCGUCUUGAAACACGGACCAAGGAGUCGAACAUUUGUGCGAGUGUUUGGGUGUUAAACCCUCACGCGUAAUGAAAGUGAACGGAGGUGAGAGCCCUUACGGGUGCAUCAUCGACCGAUCCUGAAGUUUUCGGAUGGAUUUGAGUAAGAGCAUAACUGUUCGGACCCGAAAGAUGGUGAACUAUGCGUGGAUAGGGUGAAGCCAGAGGAAACUCUGGUGGAGGCUCGCAGCGGUUCUGACGUGCAAAUCGAUCGUCAAAUCUGCGCAUGGGGGCGAAAGACUAAUCGAACCAUCUAGUAGCUGGUUACC